rnacentral:rRNA from 1 species
AGAGUUUGAUCCUGGCUCAGAACGGACGCUGGCGGCAGGCUUAACACAUGCAAGUCGAACGAUGUGUUUUCCUUCGGGAGAGCACAUGAGUGGCAGACGGGUGCGUAACGCGUGGGAAUUUACCUUUCGGCAUGGAAUAACUUCAAGAAAUUGGAGCUAAUACCGUAUACGCCCAGAGAUGGGGAAAGAUUGAUUUACCGAAAGAGGAGCCCGCGUUGGAUUAGCUUGUUGGUGAGGUAAUGGCUCACCAAGGCAACGAUCCAUAGCUGGUCUGAGAGGAUGAUCAGCCACACUGGGACUGAGACACGGCCCAGACCCCUACGGGGGGCAGCAGUGGGGAAUAUUGGACAAUGGGCGCAAGCCUGAUCCAGCCAUGCCGCGUGAGUGAAGAAGGCCUUCGGGUUGUAAAGCUCUUUCGUUGGUGAAGAUAAUGACGGUAACCAGAAGAAGCCCCGGCUAACUUCGUGCCAGCAGCCGCGGUAAUAC